UACGUAGGGGGCAAGCGUUGUCCGGAAUCAUUGGGCGUAAAGCGCGUGUAGGCGGUCCGGUAAGUCGGCUGUGAAAGUCCAGGGCUCAACCCUGGGAUGCCGGUCGAUACUGCCGGACUAGAGUUCGGAAGAGGCGAGUGGAAUUCCCGGUGUAGCGGUGAAAUGCGCAGAUAUCGGGAGGAACACCAAUGGCGAAGGCAGCUCGCUGGGACGUUACUGACGCUGAGACGCGAAAGCGUGGGGAG
rnacentral:rRNA from 1 species